GUGUUUUUUAACAUCUCCCUUAAAAUUAAGUUUAAAACCCUGGGCAUUCUCUCUCCUCUUUAUCCUCUUCUUCAUCUCUUUGGCAUCCAUGGCUAUGGCUAUGGCUAUGGAGACUUGAUCCCACUAAGUCACGAUUCAUGGAAUUACAAGUAAUAACAGUUCAUCUCCACCCAAAACGCUAUACACUCAAGUUCUCAACUCACAUUCUAUCUAUCUUUCGGCGAAUCGAUGUCAAUGCGGACGAGAUCUACGACGUUUCUUAGGUUAGAGUGAGUAUAGGAGGUGACAGAGGUCAGCGGCGAGGUUAGGGGCGCGGUCGGAGCUAUCUUACUUGUAACCGGUUAGUUUAUUUGUCAACCUCCACCACCACCGGUCCACUAACAUCACCCAACAACCACCCGCUAUUUCUCCACAAUCACCCUAAUGUCGUCGCAUCACUCUCUCUCCUCUUCACAAUCGAUUCUCUACUCUCCUAGUCUCCUUAUUCUAUUCAAUUCCCCCCUUUUAUUCAUGUUUUUCUCUUAUGGGCACCCUCAAUUUCUUCUCUAGAUCCCUCAAUUUCCCUUACCUUUUCCUCAAUUUGAUGUUUGUCUUUGUUUUUCUUGAAGAAUUCUAGUGGGAUUGUGAAUCGUUAUCCUGAUUUAAUGCUUGUUCCCAAUCCGAUUUGUGCGAUUUCUGUAAUAUAUGACUGAAUUGAUUUUCCCAUAUUCUGUAAUCCCUAAAUUAGGUCGUAGGUUUGGGUUAACUUUCUAGGGGACUUGGUUUGUGCAAAUAUGGUGUUCAUUUUUACGGACUUGAUAGCAACUAAUUAUGAUUUUCAUAGUAAGAGACUAAGAGCAGGGGUAUUAUACGAUUAAGGGUAAAGGUCAGAAACUUGAUUUGAGUGGGUUUUAGCUAAAUGGCAAUGGUGCUUGUAAUUUGUGACAUUAUUUAUAGCCUCAUUCCAUGCUGACUCUUUUCAUUAAUGGUUGAACUUUGUCCAUCCUGAGAUGAAUUAGCUUAGUUGAACAUUAGUGCAA